UACGAAGGGUGCUAGCGUUGUUCGGAAUUACUGGGCGUAAAGCGCGCGUAGGCGGUCAUGCAAGUCAGGGGUGAAAUCCCGGAGCUUAACUCCGGAACUGCCUUUGAAACUGCAUGGCUGGAGUGUGUGAGGGGAUAGCGGAAUUCCUAAUGUAGAGGUGAAAUUCGUAGAUAUUAGGAGGAACACCGGUGGCGAAGGCGGCUAUCUGGCACACAACUGACGCUGAGGCGCGAAAGCGUGGGGAUCAAACAGG
rnacentral:rRNA from 1 species